rnacentral:tRNA from 3 species
GCGAUAGUAGUCUAGCGGCAGGACAGGAGCUUCCCAAGCUUCUAACCCGGGUUCGAUCCCCGGCUAUCGCA